UUUUUAUUUUUUCACAUUCGCCCUUUCGUCAUAAAGCUGUCCAAUUGAAAAGUCGAGACCAAUGAUGACCACGAAAGCGCCAACUACGGUAAGUAAUCCCUGACCUUGAAUUUUAAGCAAAAUUUUAAUUUUCAUUGCACACAAAAGUCGGUUAUAUCGAACUAAUAACACCAUUGUAUUAUGUUCAAAAUAAAUCAAUCAUAAAAUAUAAAAUUUAUCAUCUCGAUAACGUCAUUUCCCCUGGCGUCGUGACGAUGAUUAUAGGUGAUGAAUAGCCACAAAGAACCGCUAAUGUGUAAAUGAUUGCGCAGGGCGGGUCGAAGAUCGGCUUCCAUCGAGAGACCUCGUGUCUUACAUUGACCGUAAAUCAUUCGAUAUGGCGCGAGGUAGCGAACGGCUGUUGUGUGUUUCGAGAAAUUUUGACAGUAGUAUGGCUACUAUAAAACAGGAAGCUAAUAUGAAUGUGAAAUUUGGAUAAAAUUGAUUUUUAUGGCCGUCAUAAGAGAGGACAUUUUCAAUGAUUAGUAUUAUUUUUUAAGGAUCCACAAAGGUAGUUUGAAUGCGGUAUUUUGGGAGAGGAAUAAACUGGUUAGAAAGAAUGUGAAGUGUCUCAGAGAACUGCAACUGAGCGUAUCUCACGGGUGUAUCCAGCCCAUGGUUACUUGAGUUGUCUUUGAAAAAAAAAACUGAGACAAAUGGUUAUCUCAAUUUUCUUUCACGCAUUUAAGCUGCAAUUUCAAUAAUUUGUAUUUUUAUUCGAACGCCACCUUAACUAUAAAAUUUAUAUCUGUUGAACAUUGUGAAGGAACCUACUUGAUAACAUGGAUUUAAGAAAUGUGAAAUAAACUACUGUCGAAGGUUGGCAUUUUGAAGACAGGAAAUAAGUGAGCGGUCAGCGGAAAAAUGCGACUACAAACCGGCAAGAAAUGGUAGAUACACCGAGGUCCGAUAUUUGACAGGAUUGUGAUAAUAAACUGGAAGAGAACGCUCGGCUGACCUGCAUUCCUCUUGGGCCGCCUGGUGGAUACCUUGAUGACAUGAAUGACUGAAAAGAAAAAAAGAAGUCAUGAAAAUCAGGACUCAGAAUUUCAGGAGUCCAAAUUCAUGAAACCUCAACACUAUAGGAUCACCUCUGUGAACAAGAUCUCAUUGUGAAAAGUCUGAAAGAGCUAUUGAAUAUAAAACUAUGCAGAUACAAGUCAACAAUGUUAAGGUAGCCUUCAGUUGCUUGUUUCUGGUUGCUUCACUUUUGGACUCAAGAACAGCAUUAUAAACUAGAUAGCUUCCCAAAGGAAGGAAUGUUUUUAAUCUACUCCAGAACUUGGAGGUAUGGCCAACACAGAAUUACAAAACUAACCUGUCGAAUCAUAGGAUUACUUGGAUUAUGGUGAGGUGAAGGCGAGGCAGCAGAACCAGGCUGAAAUGAAUAAAAUAAGUGUGAUACAUGAGGAAGCAGCAAGUGAAAAGUGCACGAUGCUUGUGAGUUUAAUGUGGAACUGAAGUAUUGAUCCAUUGGGAUUACGAUGAUGACUAAAAAAAUCAACAAAUCAGUAUUUAUGUAACUGAUAUUAAUUUUGGUGCACAUAGCACAAAAAUGUGAUUUAACUUUUGCUGGGUUUAUCUUAUUAAUUGAAUUACUAUGAUUGCAGUAAUGUUGAAAAUUAUAUUUGUUAUGAUUUAAAAAGUGCGAGCAAGCUCAGAGUGUAAUAUUAAUCUAUGGCAUGUAUAAUAUAAAAACAUUUCGACGAUUUAUUAUUUGUUUGUACAUGAUUUGUUUCAUAAUUAUUGAGAAAAGUGAAAACCGAAUGAAAAAUGGGUAGUUAUUUUAUUAUUUCUUAAUAAUAAGUUUGCAAUGUAAAAAUGGAAAUGUUUUGAAUUUGCAUGCACUGUGUUGUUAUUAUACUUAUUAAUGUCCAAUUAGAUUUGAAAUUCUUGGUAAUGCAUUUUCACUCCUCCAAUUAGUUGGAAAAUAGGAGUAAUCAUAUGUGCGAAUCAUUGUAGUAAAUAAAAAUUCAGAUAACGACUCAAACUAAAUAUACCUAACUGAAUACACCAUUACACUAAUCAAGUAAAUUUGUCUAAAUCUUG